rnacentral:rRNA from 1 species
GUCCAGACUCCUACGGGAGGCAGCAGUGGGGGAUAUUGCACAAUGGGGGGAACCCUGAUGCAGCGACGCCGCGUGAGUGAAGAAGUAAUUCGUUAUGUAAAGCUCUAUCAGCAGGGAAGAAUAAAUGACGGUACCUGAUUAAGAAGCCCCGGCUAACUACGUGCCAGCAGCCGCGGUAAUACGUAGGGGGCAAGCGUUAUCCGGAUUUACUGGGUGUAAAGGGAGCGCAGACGGCAGUGCAAGUCUGGAGUGAAAGCCCGGGGCCCAACCCCGGAACUGCUCUGGAAACUGUGCGGCUAGAGUACUGGAGGGGCAGGCGGAAUUCCUAGUGUAGCGGUGAAAUGCGUAGAUAUUAGGAGGAACACCAGUGGCGAAGGCGGCCUGCUGGACAGUAACUGACGUUGAGGCUCGAAAGCGUGGGGAGCAAACAGGAUUAGAUACCCCAGUAA